rnacentral:tRNA from 1 species
GUUCUUCUUGCAUUCAGUUGGUUAGAGCAUGGUGCUGAUAACACCAAGGUUGCAGGUUUGACCCCAGUAUGGGACA